rnacentral:rRNA from 1 species
UACGAAGGGGGCUAGCGUUGCUCGGAUUGACUGGGCGUAAAGGGCGCGUAGGCGGUUCGUACAGUCAGACGUGAAAUUCCUGGGCUCAACCUGGGGGCUGCGUUUGAUACGUGCGGACUUGAGUGCGGAAGAGGGUCGUGGAAUUCCCAGUGUAGAGGUGAAAUUCGUAGAUAUUGGGAAGAACACCGGUGGCGAAGGCGGCGACCUGGCCCGAUACUGACGCUGAGGCGCGACAGCGUGGGGAGCAAACAGG